rnacentral:rRNA from 2 species
UCGGUGAUGGAUGGGGAUGCGUCUGAUUAGCUUGUUGGCGGGGUAACGGCCCACCGGGGCGACGAUCAGUAGGGGUUCUGAGAGGAAGGUCCCCCACAUUGGAACUGAGACACGGUCCAAACUCCUACGGGAGGCAGCAGUGAGGAAUAUUGGUCAAUGGGCGCGAGCCUGAACCAGCCAAGUAGCGUGCAGGAUGACGGCCCUACGGGUUGUAAACUGCUUUUAUGCGGGGAUAAAGUCCGCCACGUGUGGCGUCUUGCAGGUACCGCAUGAAUAAGGACCGGCUAAUUCCGUGCCAGCAGCCGCGGUAAUACGGAAGGUCCGGGCGUUAUCCGGAUUUAUUGGGUUUAAAGGGAGCGUAGGCCGCCGAUUAAGCGUGUUGUGAAAUGCCGUGGCUCAACCAUGGCACUGCAGCGCGAACUGGUUGGCUUGAGUGCGCGGAAGGCAGGCGGAAUUCGUGGUGUAGCGGUGAAAUGCUUAGAUAUCACGAAGAACCCCGAUUGCGAAGGCAGCUUGCCGCAGCGCUACUGACGCUGAAGCCCGAAGGUGCGGGUAUCGAACAGGAUUAGAUACCCUGGUAGUCCGCACGGUAAACGAUGGAUGCCCGCUGUGUGCCAUUAUGGUACGCGGCCAAGCGAAAGCGUUAAGCAUCCCACCUGGGGAGUACGCCGGCAACG